rnacentral:lncRNA from 10 species
ACAGAGCCGCGGCUUGCUUUCAGGACACGGGUCGCUGGCGGGUUAGGUGGCUGCGUGGCCGCCUCACUUCGCGCACGCGCCGCUAGGCUGGGGGAGUUGAUUUGCACUGCUCCGGGUGUCGGCUCCGGCGGGACGGGCGGUUCUGCGUACCCCUCUCCAGUGUCAACCUGGGGCUGAAUCUUCAACCUGUCAAAGCCUUCUUAAUUAUGUCUGAGAAAAGUACUAAAAUAGGUGCCAUUUUAAAUUCCCAGACAAGGAAAAACCAAGGAUUAGAAAUUAAGUAGCUUGCCCAAGGCCACACAUCAUGGCAGAUACAUAACUAUAAGAGAGCAUUGGCUUGGUCCUCCAAAGCUAGCAGUUUGGUGGGAGUUACAGAACAUUUUACCAGGGUGAAAAUUCAAGGUUGAGGUAGAGGGAGCUACAAAGAUUAAGGCACCCUGGAAGCACAGAAGAGAAGUUCUUAAAUGCCCUUCAAGGAUCCUGAUUGAGUCAAUGCUUUGCAUUCUCAGUCCUCUG